AGUGAACGCUGGCGGCAGGCCUAACACAUGCAAGUCGAGCGGCAGCGCGUCCGACCACCCUCGGGUGGUCGGAUGGCGGCGAGCGGCGGACGGGUGAGGAAUGCAUCGGAAUCUGCCUCGUUGUGGGGGAUAACGUAGGGAAACUUACGCUAAUACCGCAUACGACCUACGGGUGAAAGUGGGGGACCUUCGGGCCUCACGCGAUGAGAUGAGCCGAUGCCGGAUUAGCUAGUUGGCGGGGUAAAGGCCCACCAAGGCGACGAUCCGUAGCUGGUCUGAGAGGAUGAUCAGCCACACUGGAACUGAGACACGGUCCAGACUCCUACGGGAGGCAGCAGUGGGGAAUAUUGGACAAUGGGGGCAACCCUGAUCCAGCCAUGCCGCGUGAGGGAAGAAGGUCCUCUGGAUUGUAAACCUCUUUUGGCAGGAAACAAACCUGCGCUAUACGCGCAGCUGAGGGUACCUGCAGAAUAAGCACCGGCUAACUCCGUG
rnacentral:rRNA from 1 species